rnacentral:rRNA from 1 species
GGUUAAGCGACUAAGCGUACACGGUGGAUGCCCUGGCAGUCAGAGGCGAUGAAGGGCGUGCUAAUCUGCGAUAAGCGCCGGUAAGGUGAUAUGAACCGUUAUAACCGGCGAUACCCGAAUGGGGAAACCCAGUGUGACUCGUCACACUAUCAUUAACUGAAUCCAUAGGUUAAUGAGGCGAACCGGGGGAACUGAAACAUCUAAGUACCCCGAGGAAAAGAAAUCAACCGAGAUUCCCCCAGUAGCGGCGAGCGAACGGGGAGGAGCCCAGAGCCUGAAUCAGCAUGUGUGUUAGUGGAAGCGUCUGGAAAGGCGCGCGAUACAGGGUGACAGCCCCGUACACAAAAGCGCAUGUGCUGUGAGCUCGAUGAGUAGGGCGGGACACGUGGUAUCCUGUCUGAAUAUGGGGGGACCAUCCUCCAAGGCUAAAUACUCCUGACUGACCGAUAGUGAACCAGUACCGUGAGGGAAAGGCGAAAAGAACCCCGGCGAGGGGAGUGAAAAAGAACCUGAAACCGUGUACGUACAAGCAGUGGGAGCCCCACCACUAAGCCAGUGGUGAACUCCACAUACGCAUCCUUUGCUGAGGAUACGGUUAACGGAGCGCAAGCGACGUUCAACCUCAAAAGAAGCAGAGGGGGCUUAGUGGUGGGGUGACUGCGUACCUUUUGUAUAAUGGGUCAGCGACUUAUAUUCUGUAGCAAGGUUAACCGAAUAGGGGAGCCGGAGGGAAACCGAGUCUUAAU